rnacentral:tRNA from 1 species
GGGCGCUUAGCUCAGGGGUAGAGCGCACGCUUUGCAUGCGUGAGGUCGUGGGUUCAAUUCCCACAGUGUCCA